UACGUGUUGUUCGCUUACAGAACUCGUAUUUCUAUUAGUUCACAAAAAAGAACAAUUUCUAUUACCAUUUUUACAGGGCAGAACGCGAAAUAACGAAGCCCACAAGGAGAAUGUGGGAAGGCGACUACUAAUAUACACGAAUAAAUGAAAAUCGACUGUAAUAAACCGAUUGUAACGAAUUAUACACCAAUUGCAUAUGAUGGAUUUACAAAUUUUUAUUGAUUUGGGAAAAAGAGCGUUGAAAGAGUAAAAGAAAAAAUAAAAAAUUUGAACUGCUCGAUUCCACUCUCAAAAACGGACUGCCCUGCUCGAGUUUAAUGAUCAAUCAUCAAACCAUGGCUUAAGAGAUUUAUCUCAAAAACUGAUUAAGAGAAUGACUCAAGAGAGUUGGCAAUUUGAAAUUAAAAUUCGGCCGGAAAUUUGUGUUUACGCGUUCUGGUGUUUUCGUCAGCGGAUUUCUGGUCUCGCUUUGAGGCUCGGAUGCUUACAAUAUCGGCUUUGAUGUUUACAGUAUCCGUUUGAUGCGGAAUGUGUGAAAUUGAUCUACGUGGGAAUAGUUUGGAGGCGUAGUUGAAAGAAAUAGCUGACCACGGAUUAUCUCGGAGUCAGUCAGAGUUAUUUGGUAUUUACCUCUAGGCUCAAAGUUGUUUGUAAAUAGUGUGUUAUAUAACUUGCCUUCACAAAAAAUAGUAAAAAUAAAAUACAGCUGGAAAACAGAAAAAUAUAUAUAGAAACAAGGAAGAACGCUAUAAUCGAGUACCUCGACUAUCAGA